rnacentral:rRNA from 1 species
CCUACGGGAGGCAGCAGUGAGGAAUAUUGGUCAAUGGACGCAAGUCUGAACCAGCCAAGUCGCGUGAAGGAUGACGGCCCUAUGAGUUGUAAACUGCUUUUAUACGGGGGUAAACGCAGACACGCGUGCCUUUUUGUAUGUACUUUAUGAAUAAGGAUCGGCUAACUCCGUGCCAGCAGCCGCGGUAAUACGGAGGAUUCGAGCGUUAUCCGGAUUUAUUGGGUUUAAAGGGAGCGUAGACGGUUGGUUAAGUUAGUGGUGAAAUCUCGAGGCUCAACCGUGGAAUUGCAUUUGAUACUGUUCGGCUUGAGAAUAGUUGCGGUAGGCGGAAUGCGUGGUGUAGCGGUGAAAUGCUUAGAUAUCACACAGAACACCGAUUGCGAAGGCAGCUUACUAAGCUGCUACUGACGUUGAGGCUCGAAAGUGUGGGUAUCAAACAGGAUUAGAUACCCUGGUAGUC